AACGAACGCUGGCGGCAUGCCUAACACAUGCAAGUCGAACGAGACCUUCGGGUCUAGUGGCGCACGGGUGCGUAACGCGUGGGAACCUGCCCUUAGGUUCGGAAUAACUCCCCGAAAGGGGUGCUAAUACCGGAUAAUGUCUUCGGACCAAAGAUUUAUCGCCUUUGGACGGGCCCGCGUUGGAUUAGCUAGUUGGUAGGGUAAAAGCCUACCAAGGCGACGAUCCAUAGCUGGUCUGAGAGGAUGAUCAGCCACACUGGGACUGAGACACGGCCCAGACUCCUACGGGAGGCAGCAGUGGGGAAUAUUGGACAAUGGGCGAAAGGAUGAUCCAGCAAUGCCGCGUGAGUGAUGAAGGCCUUAGGGUUGUAAAGCUCUUUUACCCGGGAUGAUAAUGACAGUACCGGGAGAAUAAGCUCCGGCUAACUCCGUG
rnacentral:rRNA from 1 species